rnacentral:rRNA from 1 species
UACGGAGGGUGCGAGCGUUGUCCGGAAUCAUUGGGCGUAAAGGGCGCGUAGGUGGCCCGGUCAGUCUUUGGUGAAAGCGCGGGGCUCAACCCUGCGUCGGCCAGGGAUACUGCCGCGGCUCGAGCACUGUAGAGGCAGGCGGAAUUCCGGGUGUAGCGGUGGAAUGCGUAGAUAUCAAGAGGAACACCAGUGGCGAAGGCGAGUCCCUGGACAAACCCUGACACUGAGGCACGAAAGCCAAGGGAGCAAACAGG